rnacentral:tRNA from 1 species
GCCCCCAUAGCUUAAUGGUAAAGCGACAGUUUUGUAAACUGCUGACGGGGGUCCGAUUCCCUCUGGGGGCUCCA